UACGUAGGGUGCAAGCGUUGUCCGGAAUUAUUGGGCGUAAAGAGCUCGUAGGCGGUUUGUUGCGUCGGCUGUGAAAUCCCGAGGCUCAACCUCGGGUCUGCAGUCGAUACGAGCAAACUAGAGUGUUGCAGGGGAGACUGGAAUUCCUGGUGUAGCGGUGAAAUGCGCAGAUAUCUGCAGGAACACCCGUGGCGAAAGCGGCGCGCUGGACCACUACUGACGCUGAGGAACGAAAGCUAGGGGAGCAAACAGG
rnacentral:rRNA from 1 species